rnacentral:rRNA from 1 species
UCGAUAUGUGAAUACAUAGCAUAUCAGAAGGCACACCCGGAGAACUGAAACAUCUUAGUACCCGGAGGAAGAGAAAGAAAAUUCGAUUCCCUUAGUAGCGGCGAGCGAAACGGGAAGAGCCCAAACCAACAAGCUUGCUUGUUGGGGUUGUAGGACACUCUAUACGGAGUUACAAAGGACGACAUUAGACGAAUCAUCUGGAAAGAUGAAUCAAAGAAGGUAAUAAUCCUGUAGUCGAAAAUGUUGUCUCUCUUGAGUGGAUCCUGAGUACGACGGAGCACGUGAAAUUCCGUCGGAAUCUGGGAGGACCAUCUCCUAAGGCUAAAUACUCUCUAGUGACCGAUAGUGAACCAGUACCGUGAGGGAAAGGUGAAAAGCACCCCGGAAGGGGAGUGAAAUAGAACCUGAAACCGUGUGCUUACAAGUAGUCAGAGCCCGUUAAUGGGUGAUGGCGUGCCUUUUGUAGAAUGAACCGGCGAGUUACGAUUUGAUGCAAGGUUAAGCAGUAAAUGUGGAGCCGUAGCGAAAGCGAGUCUGAAUAGGGCGUUUAGUAUUUGGUCGUAGACCCGAAACCAGGUGAUCUACCCUUGGUCAGGUUGAAGUUCAGGUAACACUGAAUGGAGGACCGAACCGACUUACGUUGAAAAGUGAGCGGAUGAACUGAGGGUAGCGGAGAAAUUCCAAUCGAACCUGGAGAUAGCUGGUUCUCUCCGAAAUAGCUUUAGGGCUAGCCUCAAGUGAUGAUUAUUGGAGGUAGAGCACUGUUUGGACGAGGGGCCCCUCUCGGGUUACCGAAUUCAGACAAACUCCGAAUGCCAAUUAAUUUAACUUGGGAGUCAGAACAUGGGUGAUAAGGUCCGUGUUCGAAAGGGAAACAGCCCAGACCACCAGCUAAGGUCCCAAAAUAUAUGUUAAGUGGAAAAGGAUGUGGCGUUGCCCAGACAACUAGGAUGUUGGCUUAGAAGCAGCCAUCAUUUAAAGAGUGCGUAAUAGCUCACUAGUCGAGUGACACUGCGCCGAAAAUGUACCGGGGCUAAACAUAUUACCGAAGCUGUGGAUUGUCCUUUGGACAAUGGUAGGAGAGCGUUCUAAGGGCGUUGAAGCAUGAUCGUAAGGACAUGUGGAGCGCUUAGAAGUGAGAAUGCCGGUGUGAGUAGCGAAAGACGGGUGAGAAUCCCGUCCACCGAUUGACUAAGGUUUCCAGAGGAAGGCUCGUCCGCUCUGGGUUAGUCGGGUCCUAAGCUGAGGCCGACAGGCGUAGGCGAUGGAUAACAGGUUGAUAUUCCUGUACCACCUAUAAUCGUUUUAAUCGAUGGGGGGACGCAGUAGGAUAGGCGAAGCGUGCGAUUGGAUUGCACGUCUAAGCAGUAAGGCUGAGUAUUAGGCAAAUCCGGUACUCGUUAAGGCUGAGCUGUGAUGGGGAGAAGACAUUGAGUCUUCGAGUCGUUGAUUUCACACUGCCGAGAAAAGCCUCUAGAUAGAAAAUAGGUGCCCGUACCGCAAACCGACACAGGUAGUCAAGAUGAGAAUUCUAAGGUGAGCGAGCGAACUCUCGUUAAGGAACUCGGCAAAAUGACCCCGUAACUUCGGGAGAAGGGGUGCUCUUUAGGGUUAACGCCCAGAAGAGCCGCAGUGAAUAGGCCCAAGCGACUGUUUAUCAAAAACACAGGUCUCUGCUAAACCGUAAGGUGAUGUAUAGGGGCUGACGCCUGCCCGGUGCUGGAAGGUUAAGAGGAGUGGUUAGCUUCUGCGAAGCUACGAAUCGAAGCCCCAGUAAACGGCGGCCGUAACUAUAACGGUCCUAAGGUAGCGAAAUUCCUUGUCGGGUAAGUUCCGACCCGCACGAAAGGCGUAACGAUUUGGGCACUGUCUCAACGAGAGACUCGGUGAAAUCAUAGUACCUGUGAAGAUGCAGGUUACCCGCGACAGGACGGAAAGACCCCGUGGAGCUUUACUGUAGCCUGAUAUUGAAAUUCGGCACAGCUUGUACAGGAUAGGUAGGAGCCUUUGAAACGUGAGCGCUAGCUUACGUGGAGGCGCUGGUGGGAUACUACCCUAGCUGUGUUGGCUUUCUAACCCGCACCACUUAUCGUGGUGGGAGACAGUGUCAGGCGGGCAGUUUGACUGGGGCGGUCGCCUCCUAAAAGGUAACGGAGGCGCUCAAAGGUUCCCUCAGAAUGGUUGGAAAUCAUUCAUAGAGUGUAAAGGCAUAAGGGAGCUUGACUGCGAGACCUACAAGUCGAGCAGGGUCGAAAGACGGACUUAGUGAUCCGGUGGUUCCGCAUGGAAGGGCCAUCGCUCAACGGAUAAAAGCUACCCCGGGGAUAACAGGCUUAUCUCCCCCAAGAGUUCACAUCGACGGGGAGGUUUGGCACCUCGAUGUCGGCUCAUCGCAUCCUGGGGCUGUAGUCGGUCCCAAGGGUUGGGCUGUUCGCCCAUUAAAGCGGUACGCGAGCUGGGUUCAGAACGUCGUGAGACAGUUCGGUCCCUAUCCGUCGUGGGCGUAGGAAAUUUGAGAGGAGCUGUCCUUAGUACGAGAGGACCGGGAUGGACAUACCUCUGGUGUACCAGUUGUCGUGCCAACGGCAUAGCUGGGUAGCUAUGUGUGGACGGGAUAAGUGCUGAAAGCAUCUAAGCAUGAAGCCCCCCUCAAGAUGAGAUUUCCCAACUUCGGUUAUAAGAUCCCUCAAAGAUGAUGAGGUUAAUAGGUUCGAGGUGGAAGCAUGGUGACAUGUGGAGCUGACGAAUACUAAUCGAUCGAAGACUUAAUCAA